rnacentral:rRNA from 1 species
AAAUUGAAGAGUUUGAUCAUGGCUCAGAUUGAACGCUGGCGGCAGGCCUAACACAUGCAAGUCGAACGGUAGCACAGAGAGCUUGCUCUCGGGUGACGAGUGGCGGACGGGUGAGUAAUGUCUGGGAAACUGCCCGAUGGAGGGGGAUAACUACUGGAAACGGUAGCUAAUACCGCAUAACGUCGCAAGACCAAAGUGGGGGACCUUCGGGCCUCACACCAUCGGAUGUGCCCAGAUGGGAUUAGCUAGUAGGUGGGGUAACGGCUCACCUAGGCGACGAUCCCUAGCUGGUCUGAGAGGAUGACCAGCCACACUGGAACUGAGACACGGUCCAGACUCCUACGGGAGGCAGCAGUGGGGAAUAUUGCACAA